rnacentral:lncRNA from 1 species
UCGAACGAUGUUACUGAUCCCUGGAACUUUUCUCACUCGCCUCGACCUCAUCAGGUUCCAGAUCAUCGAGACCUUGUCCCACCUCCCCAUGUGUAAUCGACAGAGUACAUGUUUGAGAGACCACUAGUGUAGCAGGGCUCCAGCGCUCUCAAAGAUCUUUGCUGCGACUCUCUCAGCACAAUCAGCCAUGGAGGAGGCAAGCUCCCAUCCAGAUCACGACAUCUGGAAGGAAUGGCAUCGAGUUUGACGAGCUCCUCCGGACUCAAAGUUCUCCUGGAUCGACCCAGGACGUCGAUCAUGCAGAAAUAUAGAGUGCCCUCUCCUCGCCACCAUCCCAAAGUACUGGCUGAUCAAGACCAAGUGUUCCCAGC